rnacentral:rRNA from 1 species
AUGAGAGUUUGAUCCUGGCUCAGGACGAACGCUGGCGGCGUGCCUAAUACAUGCAAGUCGAACGCUUCUUUUCCCACCGGAGCUUGCUCCACCGGGAAAAGAGGAGUGGCGAACGGGUGAGUAACACGUGGGUAACCUGCCCAUCAGAAGGGGAUAACACUUGGAAACAGGUGCUAAUACCGUAUAACAAUCGAAACCGCAUGG